rnacentral:rRNA from 1 species
UACAGAGGGUGCAAGCGUUGUUCGGAAUUAUUGGGCGUAAAGAGCUCGUAGGCGGUUUGUCGCGUCUGCCGUGAAAGUCCGGGGCUCAACUCCGGAUCUGCGGUGGGUACGGGCAGACUAGAGUGAUGUAGGGGGAGACUGGAAUUCCUGGUGUAGCGGUGAAAUGCGCAGAUAUCAGGAGGAACACCAGUAGCGAAGGCGGAUCUCUGGGCCUUACCUGACGCUCAGGCGCGAAAGCUAGGGGAGCGAACAGG